rnacentral:rRNA from 1 species
AGCGAACGCUGGCGGCAGGCUUAACACAUGCAAGCCGAACGGGCGUAGCAAUACGUCAGUGGCAGACGGGUGAGUAACGCGUGGGAACGUACCUUUUGGUUCGGAACAACCCAGGGAAACUUGGGCUAAUACCGGAUAAGCCCUUACGGGGAAAGAUUUAUCGCCGAAAGAUCGGCCCGCGUCUGAUUAGCUAGUUGGUGUGGUAACGGCGCACCAAGGCGACGAUCAGUAGCUGGUCUGAGAGGAUGAUCAGCCACAUUGGGACUGAGACACGGCCCAAACUCCUACGGGAGGCAGCAGUGGGGAAUAUUGGACAAUGGGCGCAAGCCUGAUCCAGCCAUGCCGCGUGAGUGAUGAAGGCCCUAGGGUUGUAAAGCUCUUUUGUGCGGGAAGAUAAUGACGGUACCGCAAGAAUAGGCCCCGGCUAACUUCGUGCCAGCCGCCGCUGUAAG